rnacentral:rRNA from 1 species
CCGAAAUCAAAGGUGGCGCAAGCUACCGCUUUUUGAGGGGCCCGCGGCCUAUCAGCUUGUUGGUGAGGNAACGGCUCACCAAGGCUANGACGGGUAGCUGGUCUGAGAGGACGACCAGUCACACUGNGACUGANACACGGCCCAGACACCUACGGGUGGCAGCAGUCGAGAAUUUUUGACAAUGGGGGAAACCCUGAUCGAGCGACGCCGCGUGGAGGAUGAAGGUCUUCGGGUUGUAAACUCCUGUCAUUUGGGAACAAGGCGCACGUAUUAACUGUGCGUGCGUUGAUAGUACCAGAAGAGGAAGAGACGGCUAACUCUGUGCCAGCAGCCGCGGUNAUACAGAGGUCUCAAGCGUNGUUNGGAUUCAUUGGGCGUAAAGGGUGUGU